rnacentral:rRNA from 1 species
GACGAACGCUGGCGGCGUGCUUAACACAUGCAAGUCGAACGGCAAGGCCCUUCGGGGUACACGAGUGGCGAACGGGUGAGUAACACGUGGGUGAUCUGCCCUGCACUUCGGGAUAAGCCUGGGAAACUGGGUCUAAUACCGGAUAGGACUCCUGGCUUCAUGGUUGGGGGUGGAAAGCUUUUGCGGUGUGGGAUGGGCCCGCGGCCUAUCAGCUUGUUGGUGGGGUAAUGGCCUACCAAGGCGACGACGGGUAGCCGGCCUGAGAGGGUGACCUGUCACACUGGGACUGAGAUACGGCCCAGACUCCUACGGGAGGCAGCAGUGGGGAAUAUUGCACAAUGGGCGCAAGCCUGAUGCAGCGACGCCGCGUGAGGGAUGACGGCCUUCGGGUUGUAAACCUCUUUCAGCUAUGACGAAGCGCAAGUGACGGUAGUAGCAGAAGAAGGACCGGCCAACUACGUGCCAGCAGCCGCGGUAA